CCACAGCCUCUCCCACCGAGCGCCGAGGGAGCAAAUGGCGGCGGGGCCGAUUCCCGAGGCUUAAAUCCCCUCGGCCCCGCCCCGCGCAGCCGCGCUGGGGCCCCGCGCACCUGUGCGGACCCCGCCCUUCACACCUGUGCCGGCCCCGCCCCGCUCCGCCCGCGCCCGUAAAUGCCGGCGGAUCCGCGCCCGCUCCGCUUUGUGCGGUGAACGCUCAUCCUGCUCAUCCCGGGCUGCGGCGGGACCGUCGUUCGGGGCGCUGUGCGGAGCCCGGCACCGGGGGCUGCUCCCGGCGCUGCGCCGAGCCCGAGGCGCUGAGAGCACAGGACAUCCUGAGUGGGAAGGGAUACACAAGGACCACCAAGUCGAGCCCUUAUGUGAAUGGCUCCUCUGGGGAUUGAACCCACACCUGGGCAUUCUCAGUACACUGCUCCAACCAAGCCAAUCUCAGCUCCUGGCAAUGUCCUGCCUGGGAUGGGAAUGCCAAGUGCCAGCAAGGAUUUACCCAACAGCUGUCAAGGUGCUCGUUCCAUGGCCCUUUCCAGGGAGAAAUGAGCAAGGCAAGGCCUGAGGGUUCACUUGGUCCAUGGCCAAAGUUCUUCUGAAGAGUGUCAGGGCUGCUCCUGCCUGCAGAGGGGCGUUUCCUGCAGGUGCCCUGGGGAUGCCAGGGAGGUGCCUUUGCCCACAGUGCCUUUCUCCUGCCCCUCUCCAGUCCGAGGCCUCUUCUCCCUUCCCUGCCAGCUGCUGCCAAGGAAGGAGGACACAGUGAGUGCUGAGUUGACCUCCAAAUAGUCCUUCCCUCACCUUGAGAUGACCUGAGAUUUUACCCCCAAAAUGUCCCCAUCUGUCUCCUUCUGAGUUCCUCAUUUUUUACAAGGAAGCAUUCUUUCUCUGCUCUGGAGACUACCACAAGAUUUGGCCCCAAAACUUUCCCCACCUGUCCACUACCUCUUUCCUCAUUUCCACCUCCAUCUUUUCAUUCUUUGCCCUACAGAUGCUUUCAAUUUUUACCCCUCCGAACUUCCCUACCUGUCCAUAAGUGAUUACCUCAGUUUACCCCAUCAAGUGCAUUCUCUCUGCUACAGAUCACCUCAGAUUCUACCCCCAAAAUUUUCUGUACCUCUCCACCACUGAGUACUUCAUUUUUACUUCAAAAUACUCAUUUUCUACCAUGGAGAUUCCCUCAAGUUUUACCCCCCAGAUUUACCCACCUGUCCACAGCAAUUCCCUCAGUUUACCUCAGGAUGCUCCUGCUCUCUCCUAGAGAUGACCUCACAUUUUACCCCCUCAGUUUUCCCUACCUGCCCAAUUCUGAUCACCUCCUUUUUACCUCAAAAUAGGAGUUCUUUCUUCUACAGAUGAACUCGGAUUUUAUUACCAAAAUGUCUAUUUUGUCCCCUGUACACUGACUAGAUUUUAAAACCAAAACCACACAGGUUAUGUCUGUCUUAUCCCCAAAAUGUUCAUUCUGCCCCCUACAAAUUAGGUCAGAUUUUUUCUCAAAAACCCUUACUGUUCCUACAGAAUUACCUCCGGGUUUGCCCCCCAAAUUCUACCUAAUGCUGACUACUGAUCACCUCAUUGCUUCCUCAGUAUGUUCAUUCUUUGCCCUACAGAUCUUCCCAAGUUUUACACCCCAAAUUUCCUUGCCUUGCCCCAGUGACUGCCUCAGUUCAUGUCAGUGGUCACACUCUCCCUAGAGAUUACCUCAAGUUUAACUUAACCCCCAAAUUUUCCUUAACUGCCCACAACUUAUUACCUCAUUUUUACCUCAAAAUAUUCAUUCUCAACCUUUAGAUUAUUUCAAGUUUGACCCCCCAAAAUUCCCCUACCUGUCCACUACUGAUUCCCACAUUCUUCCUUCAAUAUUUAUUUCCUUUCUACCAUGUAGCUUCUAUCAAGAUUUACCCCCAAAGUUUUCCAUCUACUACUGAGUACCUCAUUUUUACCUCAAAAUGUUCUUUCUACAGCUUAUUUAAUGUUAUUUUUACACAAGUUUCCCUACCUGCCCACAACUGAUUCCCUCAUGUUACCUCAGUGUGUUCAUGCUCUCCCCUAGAGAUUAGCUCAGAUUUAGCCCCCAAAUUUUCCCCCAUGCUCAGUACUCAUCACCUCCUUUUUCCCUCCAAGUGUUCAUUCUCUACUCUUGAGAUUUUGUCAAGUUUUGCCUCCAAAAUUUUCCUUAUUUGUCUACUACUCAUUUUUAUGCCAAAAUAUUCAUUCUGUCCCCUACAGAUUACAUCAAAUUUUACCCCCCAAUUUUUCCUUCCUGUGCAAUAUUAACUCUUUUCUGCCCCAAAAAUGUUCUCUCCCCUAAACAUCACCUCAGCUUUUCCCUCAAAAAUGCCACCUCGCUCCCCUCGACAUCCCCUCCCAUUUUCCUACACAAACAAUUCUUGUGUCCCCUCUCAGUCACCCCAGGUUUUCAGCUGAAAAUGUCUCCUCUGUCCCCUCGAAGUUAUCCCAGGUUUUCCCAGUGAGGAGCUGCAAGGAAUUCAGGCAGGACCAAUGACACCAGGGAACAGCUGUAAAUUCAGAGGCAGAGAGAGAAGAUCUACCAGGAAAGGGGAAAGGUUCAGAAAACAUUUCUGCAAUUAAUUAAUUAAUUAAUAAUUCUUUCCAGUUCCCCACUGAGAAGAACACAACCUCACAGCUGUUAAGGCCUGACAGUUCCCUGCAGGGAGAGCUCAGCACAUGUGCCCAGAGGCAAUCCCAGCAUCUGCAAGAAAGAAAGAAGCAGCAAAAGUGACUUUUGCAAGCAAACUCUGAAGCUGACAAGCCCAGAAGCUCUGUCCCUCCACUCUGGAAGGAAAGGAUACUCCCAGGGAUGAGGCACAUUCCCAGCAAACUCUCCCAGCACAGCCUGGAGGCAGCGCUGGAGC